GGGGCAGUCGUAUAAUGGUAUUACAGUGGUCUCCAAAGCCAUUGAUUGGGGUUCGAUUCCUUACUGCUUCG
rnacentral:tRNA from 1 species